CCCUUAGAUGUUCUGGGCCGCACGCGCGCUACACUGACGGAGGCAGCGAGCAUGUCCUUCGCCGGCAGGUGCGGGCAAUCUUGCGAGUCUCCGUCGUGCUGGGGAUAGAUGGUUGCAAUUGUCGAUCUUGAACGAGGAAUUCCUAGUAAGCGCGAGUCAUCAGCUCGCGCUGAUUACGUCCCUGCCCUUUGUACACACCGCCCGUCGCUACUACAGAGUGCCCGUGUCCAAGAAACGGUCGGACCUGUGCGGCCUCUCCGGGCGACCGGAGGGCCGUUACGGGGAAGACCCUUUAUUUGACGCGGGUCGAUGAAGUAAAAGUCGUAACA
rnacentral:rRNA from 1 species